rnacentral:sRNA from 1 species
GCUGGGCAUGGUGGCCCAGGCCUGUAAUCCCAGCAGCUCUGGAGGCUGAGAAAGGAGGAUUGAGAUUUCAAAGCCAGCUUCAGCAAUAGCAAGGCACUAAGCAACUCAGUGAGACCCUGUCUCUA